UGAAGUUCGUGACCUCAUCCUAGGAGUGCUACAUAUUUUAUUGCUGAAUAUCGCUGGGGUCACUUUCAGAAUGCUCCCCUGGGAAAGCUAUGCACCGUCACCAGCACCUACGCCACCCUUUAAAGCAAUUUUGGAACUCUUUUUGUGGAAUGACCAUCAGAGCUGUCAUGGUUCAGCUCACAAAAAACCACCACAACGAUGAACGCCGCUCAGCAAGACCCCACUCCACAUCUCCACGAAGGGCUGUGAGACGCUGGUCCACGUGCCCUGAGACCUUACUGAGUCGUUUACACAGCGCGGCCGAGGAUUCAGGGACUGGAACCUCAAGGAUGAUAAUAAUGCCUCGGUUUAUCUAGCACUCACCACAUGCAGGCCAAGUUCUGGGUUAAGCAUUUCUCUCAUUUAAUGGCCAGAACAACUCUGUGAGGAGUUUACAAAUGAUUCUCUAGUGAACAUCUUUGUGCAAGACUUUUUAUGUACACAGGCAAGUAUUUCUUAAGGAUAAAUUCCCCGAAGUGGAAUUGCUGGGUUGAAUAAUACAUACAGUAAAAUUGUAAUUGCCAAAUUGUCAUCCCAAACCAGAGCCAUUAAUAAGACAUACCUGAGCAUUUUAUUCAGUCUGGACACAUGGUAGGCUCAGUAAACAAUUACAAAAAUAAUUGCCAAUGUCUAUUUCCUUGCUAUUCAUUCCCAGCCCUCAUCCGAUCCAGCCCUGACUUUGGUGCCUGGAUCCUGUGUGUAGGAAAGAGAAGUGGCCCACAGAAAGGCCAGGACCCAGUGGGUGCGUUCCAGGUGCUCCCCCUGGUGGGCAAAUGUCCUGGACUGGAAGGAUCUU